rnacentral:lncRNA from 1 species
UGCUUUUGACAAUGAUUUGCACAAGUAUUUUCUCCCCAUUAUUUGUUGUUCUUUCUUGGAUUGAAAACAAACAAAAUUGAAGAAAAAAGGAAGAGGGAGGGUGAACUAGUUUCUACCAUACAGUCCCUUGCUUUCUGCAUAGAGCAUUAAAAAGAGAAGUUCACUUGUUUGAAUUUCUACAAGUAAAAUAGAAAAAAACUGAAUAACUCAAUAUGAAAUAACUCUUACACCAAUUUUAGGUUAUGAAAAAAUUGAUCCUAGUUUUCUUUUUUCACUUUCUUUUUCAGGUGAUUCACGAUAGGGGCAGUGACAUAAUCAUUGUGGGACGUGGCAUAAUCAAAGCAGCAAAUCCUGUUGAGGCAGCUCGUGAAUACCGGCUUGAAGGGUGGAAAGCAUAUUUGGCCAAGUGUUCUUGAUGCUUGAACCCUACAGAAUAAGAAAAGGAUGAGUCAAAAUUAUGUGUCAAAAUUAGGUUUUAAUGGGACAUCUAAUCUCACCAGGAG